rnacentral:rRNA from 1 species
GACGAACGCUGGCGGCGCGCCUAACACAUGCAAGUCGAACGAGCGAGCGAGAGCUUGCUUUCUUGAGCGAGUGGCGCACGGGUGAGUAACGCGUGAGGAACCUGCCUCUAAGAGGGGGACAACAGUUGGAAACGACUGCUAAUACCGCAUAAGAUCUCGGUGCCGCAUGGCAUCGAGGGAAAAGGAGCAAUCUGCUUUGAGAUGGCCUCGCGUCCGAUUAGCGAGUUGGUGAGGUAACGGCCCACCCAGGCGAAGAUCCGUAGCCGGACUGGGGGGUUGAACGGCCACCUUGGGAGUGGGACACGGCCCAGACUCCUACGGAAGGCAGCAGUGGUGAAGGUGGCACAAUGGGGGAAUCCCUGAGGCAGCGGGGCCGCGAAAAGGAAGAAGGUGUGCGGAAUGUAAGCUCCUGUUGUUGGGGAAGAUAAGAACGGUACCCAACAAGAAAGUGACGGCAAACUACGG